UACGGAGGAUGCGAGCGUUAUCCGGAUUUAUUGGGUUUAAAGGGUGCGUAGGCGGGAUGCCAAGGCAGCGGUAAAAAUGCGGUGCUCAACGCCGUCGAGCCGUUGAAACUGGCGUUCUUGAGUGGGCGAGAAGUAUGCGGAAUGCGUGGUGUAGCGGUGAAAUGCAUAGAUAUCACGCAGAACUCCGAUUGCGAAGGCAGCAUACCGGCGCCCUACUGACGCUGAGGCACGAAAGCGUGGGUAUCGAACAGG
rnacentral:rRNA from 1 species